rnacentral:rRNA from 1 species
UACGUAGGGGGCGAGCGUUGUCCGGAAUCAUUGGGCGUAAAGCGCGUGUAGGCGGCCCGGUAAGUCCGCUGUGAAAGUCCAGGGCUCAACCCUGGGAUGCCGGUGGAUACUGUCGGGCUCGAGUCCGGAAGAGGCGAGUGGAAUUCCUGGUGUAGCGGUGAAAUGCGCAGAUAUCAGGAGGAACACCGGUGGCGAAGGCGGCUAUCUGGACCGGUACUGACGCUGAAACGCGAAAGCCAGGGGAGCAAACGGG